AAAUAAGAAGCAAAUAAUUUGUAAUUAGUUUCGACCUAAUAUUAGAUGUUAAUUCAUCCUUAUUUA
rnacentral:tRNA from 1 species